AAAGAAGCAAGAGCACAAUUUUCGUAAGACCGAAAGAUGGUAGGCUAACGAUUGUAAAUGAACUUGUCUAUCUUAAUAAGAAAUGCAUGUGCUCUGUCAUCAGAAUCACGAUGCCGUUACUCCCCACUCGUCAUUUGUAUGACUUGCGAGUGUGGAACAAGUUUCUUGCAUCCAAGGAUAUAUCAAAGUGCAUUACAAAAUUUAAGAAAUUUGAACCCAGGGGUCAAAGCAUU